CUUUUCUCUCUCUCUCUAGGAAAGAAAAGAAAAGAAAGAGAAGAAGGAGAAGAAGAAGAGGAAGGAGAAGAAGAAGAGAAAGAAGGAGAAAGAGAAAGAGAAGACUAAGAAGAAAAAGAAGAAGAUAUCUUCUUCUCUCCCUCUCCCUCAAGCUUGAGGAAACCUUGUGUAGGGGUAAGCUCUAAACCCCUUUAAUGGUAUUUUUAGGGUUUGGGUUUUUAGGAUUUAGAAUUGGUUCAAAUGGAACCUAUUAGGGAUAAAUGGAAGGUUCGAGCUCGCAAU
rnacentral:lncRNA from 1 species